UACGGAGGAUGCGAGCGUUAUCCGGAUUUAUUGGGUUUAAAGGGUGCGUAGGCGGGCCUUCAGGCCGGCGGUAAAAUUGCGGGGCUCAACCUCGUCGAGCCGUUGAAACUGGGUGCCUUGAGUGGGCGAGAAGUACGCGGAAUGCGUGGUGUAGCGGUGAAAUGCAUAGAUAUCACGCAGAACUCCGAUUGCGAAGGCAGCGUACCGGCGCCCAACUGACGCUGAGGCACGAAAGUGCGGGUAUCGAACAGG
rnacentral:rRNA from 1 species